UGCGCAAGUCAUUGGGACUAUACGAAACCUAAAGGCGUAAUGAAAGUGAAUGGUCGGCUUGCCCGUCCAGAGGGAGGAUGGGGCGCGUCGCGGCGCGCCCCCGCACUCCCGGGGCGUCUCGUUCUCAUUGCGAGAUGAGGCGCACCCAGAGCGUACACGCUGGGACCCGAAAGAUGGUGAACUAUGCCUGGUCAGGACGAAGUCAGGGGAAACCCUGAUGGAGGUCCGUAGCGAUUCUGACGUGCAAAUCGAUCGUCGGAACUGGGUAUAGGGGCGAAAGACUAAUCGAACCAUCUAGUAGCUCGUUCCUUU
rnacentral:rRNA from 1 species